UCACCUGUGGAGACAAAAAUGUGCUGAGGGAAAAAAAUCUGGUUCACGCAAGAGGCUCUGCUGCAAGGAGGACGGAGACUGGCAGAAAGCCCCUUGCCCUCCCUAGCUGGGCAGAAAACGGUUUCAUGGUGGAAAAGCCCCAGAACAAACAGUCGCUGACAAGUUGUCAGUCUGGAACCCUGACCAAUAGGCUCCACCAAGUCAUCCUGACGGCGCAAGGUUUGCUUUGCAAAGCCACUGGCAGAGGUGGUGGGGCCACACGCUCCUCAUGCCUUCAUCUGGACUCACCACAGAAAUGCUCGCCUCUGUUAGCCAGAUAUUGAAACCAACAUCACUAAAGGGGACAAAAUGCAAGACCUACAUCAGUAAUGGCGGUACCUGCUUCUGUUUAGUUUCCAAGGAUUGCAGUUUUCUUUCUGGCCAUAAACGACACCCCAAAGUGGAAAAGUUGCCUGAAUACUUAGCAGUUGCCUAGUUCAGCUGGUAGAAGUUCUUCCAAGGAGUUCUCCAUGGAGGAGCAAUUAUUUCCUCCCUCUACAUGGCUCCCUAAGCUGGUCUGAGAGGGACUCUUGGCCAGCUGAAGAGCUGGGAAAGAGCUUUUCACUGCAAAUGAAGC